rnacentral:rRNA from 1 species
AUUGAACGCUGGCGGCAGGCUUAACACAUGCAAGUCGAGCGAGCCGCGGACGGGGGAGUAAUGUCUGGGAAACUGCCUGAUGGAGGGGGAUAACUACUGGAAACGGUAGCUAAUACCGCAUACCAUCAGAUGUUCCCAGGUGGGAUUAGCUAGUAGGGGGGGUAAUGGCUCACCUAGGCGACGAUCCCUAGCUGGGCUGAGAGGAUGACCAGCCACACUGGAACCUAGAAACGGUCCAGACUCCUACGGGAGGCAGCAGUGGGGAAUAUUGCACAAUGGGCGCAAGCCUGAUGCAGCCAUGCCGCCUGUGUGAAGAAGGCCUUCGGGUUGUAAAGCACUUUCAGCGAGGAGGCGUUACUCGCAGAAGAAGCACCGGCUAACUCCGUGGCAGCAGCCGCGGUAAUUC